GAUGAACGCUGGCGGAAUGCUUUACACAUGCAAGUCGAACGGCAGCACGGACUUCGGUCUGGUGGCGAGUGGCGAACGGGUGAGUAAUACAUCGGAACGUGCCCAAUCGUGGGGGAUAACGUAGCGAAAGCUACGCUAAUACCGCAUACGAUCUAAGAAUGAAAGCGGGGGAUCGCAAGACCUCGCGCGAUUGGAGCGGCCGAUGGCAGAUUAGAUAGUUGGUAGGGUAAAGGCCUACCAAGCCGACGAUCUGUAGCUGGUCUGAGAGGAUGAUCAGCCACACUGGGACUGAGACACGGCCCAGACUCCUACGGGAGGCAGCAGUGGGGAAUUUUGGACAAUGGACACAAGUCUGAUCCAGCCAUUCCGCGUGCAGGAUGAAGGCCCUCGGGUUGUAAACUGCUUUUGUACAGAACGAAAAGGCCCUGGUUAAUACCUAGGGCUCAUGACGGUACUGUAAGAAUAAGCACCGGCUAACUACGUGCCAGCAGCCGCGGUAA
rnacentral:rRNA from 1 species